CCUACGGGAGGCAGCAGUGAGGAAUAUUGGUCAAUGGACGCAAGUCUGAACCAGCCAUGCCGCGUGCAGGAUGACGGCUCUAUGAAUCGUAAAAUGCUUUUGUACGAGGGUAAACCCCGAUACGUGUAUCGGGUUGAAAGUAUCGUAAGAAUAAGGAUCGGCUAACUCCGUGCCAGCAGCCGCGGUAAUACGGAGGAUCCGAGCGUUAUCCGGAUUUAUUGGGUUUAAAGGGUGCGCAGGCGGAUUUUUAAGUCAGCGGUAAAAUGGCCGGGCUCAACCGGGGCCGGCCGUUGAAACUGGGGAUCUUGAGUGGGCGAGAAGUAUGCGGAAUGCGUGGUGUAGCGGUGAAAUGCAUAGAUAGCACGCAGAACUCCGAUUGCGAAGGCAGCAUACCGGCUCCCGACUGACGCUGAGGCACGAAAGCGUGGGGAUCGAACAGGAUUAGAUACCCCAGUAGUC
rnacentral:rRNA from 1 species